rnacentral:rRNA from 1 species
UACAGAGGGGGCAAGCGUUGUUCGGAAUUACUGGGCGUAAAGGGCGCGUAGGUGGCCCGCUAAGUCGAACGUGAAAUCCCCGAGCUCAACUCGGGAACUGCGUCCGAUACUGGCGGGCUUGAAUCCGGGAGAGGGAUGCGGAAUUCCAGGUGUAGCGGUGAAAUGCGUAGAUAUCUGGAGGAACACCGGUGGCGAAGGCGGCGUUCUGGACUGCAACUGACACUGAGGAACGAAAGCCAGGGGAGCAAACGGG